UGCGAAGGUAGCAUAAUCAUUAGCCUUUUGAUUUGAGGCUGGAAUGAAUGGUUUGACGAGAGAUGGCCUGUCUCUUCGAUUAAAUUGAAGUUAAUCUUUAAGUGAAAAAGCUUAAAUGUACUUGGAGGGCGAUAAGACCCUAUAGAUCUUUACAUUUAAUUCUUUUGUCUUGCGGUAGGUAAUUAGACAGAGUAAAAUAAUGUUCGGUUGGGGCGACGGUAAGAACAGAAUAAACACUUACAACAUAAACACAUCAAUAAAUGACCAUUGAUCCUUAGAUGAAUAAAGACCAAGUUACCUUAGGGAUAACAGCGUAAUUCUUUUUGAGAGUUCAAAUCGACAAAAGAGUUUGCGACCUCGAUGUUGGUUCAGGGACCCUACUCGGUGCAGCAGCCUAGAGAGGCAGU
rnacentral:rRNA from 1 species